rnacentral:rRNA from 1 species
CGUAAUACCGGAUAACAACAGAAUGAUGCCUAUCAACUGUUUAAAAGAUUAGGUCUGCUAUCACUCUUGGAGUGGACCUCGCGGUGCAUUAGCUAGUUGGUAGGGUAACGGCCUACCAAGGCGAUGAUGCAUAGCCGAGUUGAGAGACUGAUCGGCCACAUUGGGACUGAGACACGGCCCAAACUCCUACGGGAGGCAGCAGAA